CUUCCUCCAGCAGAGCAAUGUGAUCCACCGGCAAGGAGGGACGCCAAUAAGGCAUCCAAAAAGAUAAGUCUUAUAAAAUAUAUAGAUUUAUGGUAAUUAAGACUGAGCUAACAGAUGAGAAUCCUAGUCAUUGGCCAAGCAGCAUUGUACCUACUACAAGUCUCUCUGUGCAUUAUUUGGGGCCCUAACUCAGGCGGGAGGCUGGCGUAGAGCGCACACUGGGUGCUGGGCUUGGCGGCUUUUGGCAGAAAGAUUUAUUGUAACAGAUAUUGUAAGAAAGAAUGAAAGAGAGAAAGAAAUCCUUAUUAAAACUAGACUAUUUUAUAACCCAGAUGCCCCUCAACUGAAGAAUGCAUGGAGAAAAUGUGGUACAUUUACACAAUGGAGUACUACUCAGCAGAAAAAAAAACAACGGAAUCUUGAAAUUCACAGGCAAAUGGAUGGAACUAGAAGAAACCAUCCCAAGUGAGCCUUCAUCCAAUACUGAUGGAAGCAGAGGCAGACACCCACAGCUAAACACUGAGCUGAACUCUGGAGUCCAGUUGAAGAGAGGGAGGAGUGAUGAAAAAAGGGGUCCAGACCAAGCUGGAGAAACCCACAGAAACAGCUGACCUGAACAAGAGGGAGCUCACGGACCCCAGACUGAUAUCUGGGAAACCAGCAUAGGACUGUUCCAGACUCCUUGAACAUGGAUGUCAGUUUGGAGUCUGGGCUUCUGGUAGUGGAUUGUAGUGGAUCAGUAUUUGUCCCUAG
rnacentral:lncRNA from 1 species